CACCCGUAUGUACUGUGUCCCCUCCCGGGAUAGGGUGGCACCGUGCAGCAGUCAGGAGUAGCACUGGAAGCAGAAUGAAUUGUAGCAUGGUGCAGGAACUUCCAAGCUCUUCUGUGUCCCAGGACCUUGAGAGAUGUACUGUGUGUGUAUAUGGAAACUGAGAGCUGUAUACCUGUGUGUGUUUGUCAGGUCUGUUUCUGUGACUGGAAGGUAUAGUAACUGUCUGGGUGCCUUCAGUCUCCUGUUUAUUUUCAGAGGUAUGAGUCUGUUCCUGGAUACUGCUGGUAUGUCUGGCAGCUGUCUGUUGUUCAAGUCUGUCUGUCUAUCUUUCUAUGUGAAUUGUGUGCAGAAAAAUGUAUCUGUGUGUCCCUCCCCUGUUUGUCUCUCACUUCUCUUUUUAUGCCUCCCAGUCUCUCCCUCUCUGUGCCUCUCAGACUCCCUCUGCCCUGUGUCUAGUCUCUGUAUCUCCCCCCUAUCUGUGCCCCUAUGUCUGUCCUGUGUCUAAGUGCUGUCUGUGUCUGUCUAAGAAUUGUGUGUACAAAUCUCUCUGCCCCCUCCUCUUCACUUCUUCUCUCCACUUUCCUGACCCCCUCCUUUUCCUCUCACCUUUUUUUCUUUAUCUGUACCCCCACCCUCUUUGGGUGCAUGUCUGUGUUUCCUUAAAUAUCGUUCUCACCGUUUCCUUUUGUGUGUUACGUUUGCCUCACCUGUCUGUGUAUCUGUCUGAAUUCUGCCUGAAUGUGUUAGCAGUCUGUCUGGGAAUGUGUCUAUACUCAGCUAUAGAACUGUCUGACUCCCUUUCCUCUGUUAUAUGAGAAGAUUUCUCUUAACUUUAUUUACUGGUCUAUAUUGUGAUUGUGUGUCAUUGUGUGAGUUUGUGCGUUUGUACUCUGGUGGUCUGGUGAAAUUCUUGCCCACUGUCUGGUAAUUGACUCAUAAACUUCAAGACUUUUAUUUUAGUGGGUGUAGGGUCUGCCAUGUCGACCCUGCCUUCCAGGUCAGGUAUGUAGUUUUCAUGUUAAAUAUGUGUUGGCUUCUAGUCAUAUGUAGAGAUAUACAGUAUUCAGGAUAUGAGUAUAUGCAGUGACAUUUAGAUUCUGUAUAUCCUUGCAGACAUGUUGCAC